CCUAACACAUGCAAGUCGAACGGUAACAGGAAGAAGCUUGCUUCUUUGCUGACGAGUGGCGGACGGGUGAGUAAUGUCUGGGAAACUGCCUGAUGGAGGGGGAUAACUACUGGAAACGGUAGCUAAUACCGCAUAACGUCGCAAGACCAAAGAGGGGGACCUUCGGGCCUCUUGCCAUCGGAUGUGCCCAGAUGGGAUUAGCUAGUAGGUGGGGUAACGGCUCACCUAGGCGACGAUCCCUAGCUGGUCUGAGAGGAUGACCAGCCACACUGGAACUGAGACACGGUCCAGACUCCUACGGGAGGCAGCAGUGGGGAAUAUUGCACAAUGGGCGCAAGCCUGAUGCAGCCAUGCCGCGUGUAUGAAGAAGGCCUUCGGGUUGUAAAGUACUUUCAGCGGGGAGGAAGGGAGUAAAGUUAAUACCUUUGCUCAUUGACGUUACCCGCAGAAGAAGCACCGGCUAACUCCGUGCCAGCAGCCGCGGUAAUACGGAGGGUGCAAGCGUUAAUCGGAAUUACUGGGCGUAAAGCGCACGCAGGCGGUUUGUUAAGUCAGAUGUGAAAUCCCCGGGCUCAACCUGGGAACUGCAUCUGAUACUGGCAAGCUUGAGUCUCGUAGAGGGGGGU
rnacentral:rRNA from 1 species